GGAUUAGAUACCCUGGUAGUCCACGCUGUAAACGAUGUUCACUCGCUGUUUGCGAUACACAGUAAGCGGCUGAGCGAAAGCAUUAAGUGAACCACCUGGGGAGUACGAUCGCAAGGUUGAAACUCAAAGGAAUUGACGGGGGCCCGCACAAGCGGAGGAACAUGUGGUUUAAUUCGAUGAUACGCGAGGAACCUUACCUGGGCUUAAAUGUAGGCUGCAUGAAGUAGAAAUACUUCUUCCCUUCGGGGCUGCUUACAAGGUGCUGCAUGGUUGUCGUCAGCUCGUGCUG
rnacentral:rRNA from 1 species